rnacentral:rRNA from 1 species
AGAACGAACGCUGGCGGCGCGCUUAACACAUGCAAGUCGAGCGCCUUGGGCUUUCGGGCUCAAGGAGCGGCGCACGGGUGCGUAACGCGUGGGAACCUACCCUGGGGUUCGGGACAACGGCGGGAAACCGCCGCUAACACCGGCUACGGCCGUGGCGACACGGCGAAAGGCGCCUUGGCGCCGCCCUGGGACGGGCCCGCGUCCGAUUAGGUAGACGGUGGGGUAACGGCCCACCGUGCCGGUGAUCGGUAGCCGGUCUGAGAGGAUGAUCGGCCACACUGGGACUGAGACACGGCCCAGACUCCUACGGGAGGCAGCAGUGGGGAAUCUUGGACAAUGGGGGCAACCCUGAUCCAGCGACGCCGCGUGGGUGAUGAAGGCCUUCGGGUUGUAAAGCCCUUUUGCCGGGGACGAUGAUGACGGUACCCGGCGAAUAAGCACCGGCUAACUCCGUGCCAGCAGCCGC